UGGGGGAUAUUGCACAAUGGGCGAAAGCCUGAUGCAGCGACGCCGCGUGGGGGAUGAAGGCUUUCGGGUUGUAAACCUCUUUCGCUAUCGAACAAGGCCCGCUUAGGGUGGGUUGAGGGUAGGUGGAGAAGAAGCGCCGGCUAACUACGUGCCAGCAGCCGCGGUAAUACGCAGGGCGCGAGCGUUGUCCGGAAUUAGUGGGCGUAAAGGGCUUGUAGGCGGCUUGUUGCGCCUGCUGUGAAAACGCGGGGCUUAACUUCGAGCGUGCAGUGGGUACGGGCAGGCUUGAGUGUGGUAGGGGUGACUGGAAUUCCAGGUGUAGCGGUGGAAUGCGCAGAUAUCUGGAGGAACACCGAUGGCGAAGGCAGGUCACUGGGCCAUUACUGACGCUGAGGAGCGAAAGCAUGGGUAGCGAACAGG
rnacentral:rRNA from 1 species